rnacentral:rRNA from 1 species
UACGUAGGGUGCGAGCGUUGUCCGGAAUUAUUGGGCGUAAAGAGCGCGUAGGCGGUCCGAUAAGUCGGCUGUGAAAGUCCAGGGCUCAACCCUGGAAAGCCGGCCGAUACUGUCGGACUAGAGUCCGGAAGAGGCAAGUGGAAUUCCCGGUGUAGCGGUGAAAUGCGCAGAUAUCGGGAGGAACACCAAUUGCGAAGGCAGCUUGCUGGGACGGUACUGACGCUGAGGCGCGAAAGCGUGGGGAGCAAACAGGG